AUCCCACUCCUGGCAGGAGGUCUUCUGGACAGAGCAGGACAAGCAGCAAGUGGGGGGCACAGAGCACAUGUUUAUGCAGCUUCCACUUUUACAGGGGGCCCUGGCCAAGAAUCUCUCCCUCUCCCCUCCCCAAAGGCCAGCUGGGUGGAGGGUGAGAAGAGACCCCUUUGCUCCUUCCACCCCCUCAUUCCUCAGCUAUCUACAGUCAGGGCCUAUCCAGCUGUCCCAUCCUGCCUCUGCCACUGCCAUGCCCCAGAGAAUAGUCAUCCAGCCAUGCCACAUCCCUAGAAACCAGGACCAGAGUAUGACCCUCAUUGCUGUAAAGGCCUUUACCAUGAGAGCUAAGCCCCUAGAACAUGUGACCAUAGCGGACUUCAUUUAGGCACAGGUAUGAGGGGAACCCCCUGGAACUACUCCAACGGAGAAGUGGAGGGGCAGAAGAUGAGAAGUGGAUUGGUGGGAGAGGGAGAAUGUUACCAUAGCAACAGAGGAAAGGGAGAAUGUUACCAAGGUGACUGAGCACAUGCGUCCUUCAGAGGGAUAAAGAGAUAAAGCUGCAAUAUAGACAACAGGGAGAGAUGGGGAGCAAGCAACUGUUACUGUAGCAACAGAAGGAAGAGGGAAGAAAAAGAUGGGGAGACUGUUACUAGGGAGACAGUAGGAGGAGGCUGUUACCAAGGUAACAGAGGGGGUUCUGUGACUUCUACUGUGGCAACAGCUAUGGAAGAGGGAAAGAAAAUGGCUCUUAUCUUAGCAACACACAUCUUUUGCCAUAGCAACAGUGAAAGCAAGAGGCAGCAAAGAGAAAUCUCAUUGGGGGAGAGGAAAUUAUAGUCGGCUCACCAAACUGUCACAAACUUUACCAACUCAUGCGCAAAUCCCCAUGCCCCACUUGUCAGCAUGGGAUACAGCCAAAAGACAGCACGCUCCUCCUACGAGGGCACAGCCUUGGGAGCAGGACAUGACGGCCCUUCCUGAUGGGAGAAGAGGUAUAGGUGAAAGUCCUACUGCCCCAGGAGGUACAGCCACCCUUAGCUUUGUUCAGUGUUUCUCUCAAGCAGCGGCGGAUGCGGUCACUCCCUGGAAACAGGCAGGCAACAGCUCGAUGGAAAAAGCCAACCCAGUGUGUCUUUUCUAACUUAUUUAUUUAUGAAGUGUGAGGUAAUGAAGAAAAGUGCUAAAUCCGACCACAGUGUUAACUCUAACGUUUCUCAGAAGGUCAGGUAGGAGCCAGACAACUCAGGGGCUGCUCUGUGUGUCUGCUGCAGAGUGGAGGUCCCAGCCACACCCCCUUCCACGAAAGAUGAAGGCUCCUGGUCCUGCUCCCCCAC